UUUUUUUUUUUAAAGCAAGGGUUAAACAUAUCCUCGAGGAGAAGUCAACAAUUUCUUUCACUGGCAAGUCCUCGCUUCCUAAACUGUUCAUCUCCAUUCUAUUCUGGACAAUCUAUUAAUCUGAAGAGUGGGACAGAGCUGUUGACAUCAUUACUAUAAACCCAGCAGAUUUCUGGCAUUUGAUGGCCACUGGGCCUGUAACACCACGGACAAGGUUGCCCAAAGGGCCCUGAGCGCUCAGUGGCUGAGAUGUUCCAGCUGCUAGUGGAAAGGAAUUAUCCUUCAGGAUGGAGUAAACUGCCCAAGCUGGGAAAUGCUGCUCACCAUACUGAGAGCACAACAGAAUGACUCCCAGGCCAACGAUGGUUGCACAAGCUUGAAACUUAUUGCAUGAGCUUGAAACUUUAGGUGGUCUGACCACUGCAGGGCUGAAACCCCACGUGCUUGGCUCUUGUCUGACCAUUUGAGACACAUGGAGCAGGCUGUGCACUGUGACAGCCCAUCUCUGUGGGCUACAGAGGUUUUCUUGGAGACUGGGAACUUCAAGAUCCAGCAGAACCUGCAGCAAGCUCUGCCACCUGGGCCCGGGACAUGCACAAGCCAAGGUGUCUCUGUGCCACCAACUUACCGUGGAGUCUGCCCCAUCCAGCACAUUUUGUAUCAGUCUUUUGAGCUCACUGAGAGCUGCCCGAAGGCUCCCGGCUGGGACGUCUUUGGCUGAUGAAGUUUCUGAAGACUCGUCCAUGGAGGAGUCUGUGGAGACGGCGGAGUCCGCGCUGUCGUUCCCUCUGAGGUGGGAGCAGAGAUACCGCACUUGGCAAUAGGCCUCCCAGAGCUGCAGCCUCAGCUGAAACAAGAGACAAGAGGCUGGGACAUCAAGGCCAUGGAAAUUCUCCUUCUGUGCUGCCGGUAGGACAGACGCACCUCCUGGAGCUCCAUCUGGCUUUGGUGCAGCUUGUGAAGAAAAUCAAGGAUGAGCACUCGGUCCUGCAGCUCCUCCACGGUUCCCUGGAGCAGGUCGUUCUCCUCCAUCAUGGCACUAAGGCGAUGCUCCAGCUCCCUCUUCCUGUCCGUCAGCAUUUUGAUCUGCAGAGGAAAGAGAGGCAGUGUCAGAACCCCACACUUUGCAGGAAGCAGAGAGGAGGGAAAUCACAUUCCGGAGAGAGAAAUGAAACAGCAGAAAAAAAGCCAGAGAGCUAUCAAGGAUGAAAAAGCACCAGCUGAAAAGUACCGAAGGAUUUUGCCUGCAAGAUGCUGACCACACUCCCAAGGAGCACAAGUGGCACCAGUGGAGAUGACACACCAGAAUUCGAUGGUUCACUGUGUAACAUCAUUGAUAUGCUUGAACAAUUCUACACACAGAGAGUGUAAAUGCACAAUACAGCAGUAAGAAACAAGGGACUAUUAAUGGCACUGGAAAAAUUCCCGGUAAGACAAUAGAUAGCUGCUCUUGCUGGUUCUGCUCCCCAUGCUCAGACUGCAGCAGGUGAAGGGAUGAGCUGCAAGGAUGAUUCAGAUUGUGGAAAGUCUGUUAUACGAAAGGAGACUAAAAAAAGGAUGGCUUGUUUUAUCUCAUGCAGUGAAUGCUGAGAGAGGACUCCCUAUAAAUACAUCACGGAUGAGCACACAGAAGGGAGAAGCGCUAUUUAAGCAGAAGCACAAUUUUGGCAGGAAAGAAUUA